rnacentral:misc_RNA from 1 species
AUUAUUAUUAUUAUUAUUUUUUUCCAUCUCUAUGUUAUGUUAUAAUUAACACUUAUGUCCAAGUAUUUUGAAAAAUAGAUGAAUACUAUCCUAAGUUUUGGUUCUAUCAUACAUUUUCCAUCCUUCGUCCUUUUUCGUUAAUUUAGCUAUUAGUCAAGUGAUUGAAAGGUAGUCAAUGAAGGACUAAAGUGUUAAUAAUGGUAAAAGCUUAGGGACCAAAUUAUUCAUAAUGGUAAAAGUUAGGAAAGAAAUAAUAAUUUAUCAUGAAGGAUAUUAAGAUAUUUUCGCUCUUCAUCAACAAUGAAAGUUCAGAAAUAUGGAUAGGGGGAUGAAAGUAUAUGAUAGAAUCAAAACUUAGAGACAUUUUCAUCCAUUUUUCCUGGGAACACAAGUGUUAGUUAUGACAUA